GGAGAAGAGAGAGGAGAGAAGAGGGGAGGGGAGGAGAGGAAAGUAGAAGAGAGAAUAGAAGAUGAGAGGUGAAGACAGAAGAGGGGAGGAGAGGAGAGGGGAGGAGAGGAGAGAGGAGAGGAGAGAGAAGAGAGGAGGAGAAGGGAGAAGAGGGGAGGAGAGGAGAGGAGAGAGAAGAGAGGAGGAGAGAGAAGAGGAGAGUACCGGAGAGCUCCGCCUCCUCGCGCUCAGUCUCUCCAUUACACACACCGAGAGUUACCGGAAAUUUCUGCUCAGGGUGAAAAGUGAAAGGAAUGGGAGCGAAGCAAAGUCGGAGGAAGAGUGAUGGAGCUGGGGCUCCUUCUGAGCAGAAACGUGAUGAUCCUGAGGCUGAGGUGAAACCACACCUGCAGAAGUGGAUAUCACAUCCAGAGAUUUUACUGCACAAGCUGCUGUUAGUGAAGAACCUGAAGAUGUUCUAAACAAAAGCAUGGAGACAGUGGAAGCCAAUAUGGCGUCUGUCAAUGUGGAGGAUCCGACAGAGAUGGUGGCUGCGGUUCCAGACCCUCAAGCCAAGCAUGACUCACUGACGGGUUUGUCCCAAGAGGCUUCAACCAAAAUUGAGCUUUCCAUACCCGAAUCUCCAGCAGACCCCGCCCCCGUCCCAUGUGAGCCUUUAAUCACAGAGGACCUGAGUAUCCCAGAAGCUCCGGAACAUGGUGCAGAAGCCACAGUUGGAGAUGUUGAAGCUUUAGCAAAGGAGAAUAAAGAGAAUUCUGGUCAGGAGGCAUCUGAGACUGAGGAGCUGUUUGUGUGUGUGAAUCAGGAUGAUGCAUAGUCACCAGAUGAACCUCUGAACUGAGAAAGUCUUGAACCCACAACCUUGUACUUUGACCCAUUGGUUGCCCUGGGAGAUGUGGAGCAGGGGGCGAAUGUGACUGUCAGCACGGUCAAUGAACUUUAUAAACCAUGUCAUUGUGUACUGAUAGAAAACAACUGGUACAAGGAUAAUGAGUACAAACAGUGAAGAGAGAGCAAUUAAUAAAUCAUGAGGUUAUUGAUUUAAGUGUUAAUAAUACAAAUAUAUUCUCUGCAAAGCAGUUAUAGUGUUACAGGCCUGAAUGAGCACUGGAUGUAAAACACAAACUCAAGAGAAAAACAAACCGCAAUCCUCAAACGUGUAAUCCGCUUUAUAUAUUAUUUCGACCAGCAACUACUGUUUCUGGAAAAGUUGCAAAAUUGAAUUAAACCCAGUGGAGUAAAUCAUCUCCGAGUGUAUUUUUAUAAACUACAUUCAACAAUCCCAUGACUGAGCUGUUUCAGGAAACGUGUGGAACAAAGCCAAGGAUAUCUGGGAAAGAUGUGGAGUCUCAGUGGACAGAAAAAGAAAAAAAAAACACUUAUUCAGAAUGUAAUGAGAUUUCCAUGUACUGCAUCAAGAUUCCAUUUCCUCUUUAGAACACAUAUACCUACACUAUAUAGCCAAAAGUAUGCACACACACAUGUUGAACAUCUCAUUCCAGAUUUAUUCCCCGUUUGCUGCUAUAAGAACCUCCUCCACUCUUCUGCGACGGCUUUUCACUAGAUUUUGGGGCGUGGCUGUGGGGAUUUGUGAGUGUGAUUUUGGGAUUUUGGGGCGUGGCUGUGGGGAUUAGUGAUCAUUCAGCUACAAGAGCGUUAGUGAGGUUGAAGUCAGGUGCUGAUGUUGAUGUUGAUGAUGUAAAGAGACUCCAGUUCCAGUUCAUCCCAAAGGCGUUCAGUGAGGUUGAGGUCAGGGCUCUGUGCAGGACACUCGAGUUCUUCUACCUUCUUCUAACCUUCACACACCACGUGUUCACAAUGACAUAUGGGUGUGGUGGUCAGGUGUCCACAGUCUUAUGGCUGUAUAAUGUAUGUUUUCUCAGAUGAACACACAGAGGGAAGGACAGAAUAUUUUAUCCAGGGACAUGGUUGUACGGUCCAAUUUCAAUCCAGUGUACAUCUGGCUCUUAACAUCACAGAGAUUCUAAAAAUCGUUACUCGA
ensembl:lncRNA